CCAUGAUUCCAUUCAUUGGUUCUAUGAAUCUGACUGUUUUUGAUGCCUCAUGAGGAGGAGGACAUGGCCACCCUCUGGGACACUGACAGCUUCAUGGAAUGAAAGCCUUAUGGUUAGGACGACGGAGCAGAGAGGAGGAGGAGCUGGGAAGACGGAGGACCCCGGGGAGCAGCUGCGCACAUUCUGACGAGGUUCUGACUUCCCGUUUCGUGAGAACAUAACUAGAACAAAAAUGAAUGAGGGUUGUGCCAAAGAGAAAGGAUUGACAUUGGAUACUGGCCAGGGAGUUCCGGCUCACUGGUGCUCACAGCCCGGCACUUGUCCAGUUGUGAAGACCUGAAGGUACUCUCUGGAAGAGAGGACAUCUCAUCUUGAGCAGAAGGUCAGAAAGUGAACCACAACAUGUACAGUUGCCUCCCAUGGGAAAAAAAAGAGCAAGGCUGGGCGACCUUCUCGCUGGCUCUCCCUCACCCUUUUCCCCUACAGCUCUCACGGUUUCUGCUCCCCUGUCCCACUUUCUGAAGAAGUAAGUGGGUCGGCUUUUCAGAAGCUCUGAGGCAGUCAAGUUGAUCUGCAGAAUCUGUUCCAUUAGGUCAACCUGAAACUAUAAGAAGCAGACGAGAUGAUUUGGAAGCAAGUAUCAUUUCAGUUCCGGAGCAUAUUGACAUCUGUUACAACAUAUUAUUAAACAUCAAACUCCACAUGGCACUUGAAGGAAUGCAAGGAAAGAAAAAUACUCCAAAAUGCAAACCUCUCAGAUUUUGUCACAAAUGGAUAAUAUUUAAAAUAAACCAGCUGAUGUCAUAUUUGUCUAUAAAGAAAGUAAACAUAUCAAAAUGAGACAGGCGAUCUAGUAGCUUAAUUUGGCAGUUUUCUUCAGAAGUCGUUCCCGUUCGUGGUUUUCAGGUGUGUAGUCCUGUCCUCAGCACACUCGCUCGGACGGCCUCCUGUAGGAAAGGGUGUAAUCCUGAUAGAUGUUUAAACACAAGAUACUUGCAGCAGAAAAACAUUACAUUACCGCCAAAAUAAAAUGUAAUCACCGGAGGACAGAAUAUCUUCCCAGGCUCUUUGCUUUUCUUUCCCUGACUUUUUGUUGCCUUUUGGCAAUUCCACUGCUCAGCAAAGUCAUGGAGGUAAGAAAUCAAAGCAAGAUUUAUUGAAGUUUGGCAACGGGUUGUUAUAUUAUUUCGCCUUACCUUUCUAUUUUCUUUAGACUUGAUUUACAUGGAGUUUUAUUUGUAAGGAAACCAAAAUCUAAUAGAACUAGAGCGGAGAUAAAGGCCAGAUCUGUGCCACGCUAAGGGGGCUCUCUGUCUGCAAGGGGUGCUGGACAGGAGGAAACACGUGUACACCGUUGGUGGGAGUGUAAACUGGUGCAGCCACUGUAAAACACGUGGAACUUCCUCAGGUAAUUAAAAAUAGAACUAUCAUAUGAUCCUGCAAUCCCACUUCUGAGCAUGUAUUUGAAGGAGACAAAACCAGUAUUUGGAAGAGAUAUUUGCACCUCCAUGUAUGUAUACCACAGCAUUCUUUACAAUAGAGAAGUCAUGGAAACAGCCUAAGUGCCCAUGGACAGAUGAAAAGAAAGAGAAUGUGUGUGUGUGUGUGUGUGUGUAUACACACAUAUAUGACAGACUAUUAUUCAGCCACAAAAAGAAGGAAAUCCUGCCAUUUACAACAACAUGAAUGGACGGAGGGCAUUAUAUUAAGUAAAAUAACUUAAAGAAAGAUAAGUAUUGUAUGAUUUCGUAUGUGAAAUCUAAAAGAAACCAAGCCAUAGAAACAGAGGUGGGAAGUGGGGAGUGAGGGAAAUGGGUGGAAAUGAUCAAAAGGUACAAGUUUCCAAUUAUAAGAUAAGUCCUGGGGACGUAAUGUUCAGCAUGGUGAUGAGAGUUAACAGUACUGCACUGUGUAUUCAAAAGUUGCUAAGAAGGUAGAUCGUAAAAGUUCUCAUCACAAGAAGAAAUUCGUAACUGUGAUGGAUGGUAACUUAAACUUAGUGUGGUAAUCACUUCACAAUAGAUACACAUAGCAAAUCAUUUUGUUGUACACCUGAAGCUAAUAUAAUGUUAUAUGUUAGUUAUAUCUCAAUCAAACUGGAAACAAUUUAAAAUUUUUUUAAAGAUUUAAAGCUGAGAUAAAAAUCUGUGGGACAGCUAACAGGGUACCCACUUACAAGGGGUGCCAUUCUCAGAAAUGUAACAAGGUGAGAGAAACUUACUUAGCAGAAGUCCUCUCCCAGGGGCUAGUGUGGAAGGGAGACGUUACAGCAACCCUGGUGGGUGAGUGCGACUUCCCCGUGCUGGUAGCUCAUUGCCUUUGAAGAACCAAAGGUCUGGUUAGAUUCGUUGCAAAGACAUUAAAAAUAUUAAAUAUAUGUUUGUGCUGAGUGCGGUAAAUCUGACCCAAAAUCCAGGAAAAUGGUGGUGAGGUGAAGAAAUUCCUUAUUCUUUUUAUUUUCCCGACAUGCAGAAGAAAGCUCUCACACUUUCUUCUAAAUAACUAUGGAAAAAAUAUUUACAGAAUAUCACUUAAGAAGCAGUCAAUUAAUUUCUUGCCUAUGACUCUCAUUGGCUCAUACUGGCCCUGGUUAGAGAGAAGGGGUGUGAGUGUGGGGUGUGUGUGUGUGUGUGUGUGUGUGUGUGUUGUGUUGCUGUUUUUAGCGAAUUGCUAUGCAAAGUGUUAAAAAAAAGUUAUUGCUGGAAAAUAUUGGUGGAAUGUCAACUGGCGAAGCACAGAGCACUUUUCUGGUCAUGAGAUCUGAACAGCACUGUGUGUAGCAGACAGUCGAGAGCCACGCAAAAGCAGAAUGGAUUCUCUAUAUGAACGUUCUCUGUGGGGCAGCGCUUUGUCUAAGACGGGCGUUGGCAAUUAGACAUGGGUACAAAACACUCAGUUUGCCUGCACCUUCCAAAAGCGUGGAUAGUUGAAAUAGCAGCCGUGAUUCUGUAAUGUAGAAAAAUAAAUAAGACGGAUUCUUCAUCUUAAAUUGGAGAAGCUCAGUUUGACCUGCAAAAAGUCUGAGGGAGAACAUUUAGAAAAAGUUGGCUUUAUUAACUACACAGUCGGACAAGGGAGAUGUGUGGUUGUACAACUGGAAAUGAAUACAAAUAAUUUGUGAUUAUCGUAUUUAUU